AUUGAACGCUGUCGGCAGGCCUAACACAUGCAAGUCGAACGAGUGGCGGACGGGUGAGUAAUGUCUGGGAAACUGCCUGAUGGAGGGGGAUAACUACUGGAAACGGUAUCUAAUACCGCAAAGCAUCAGAAGGCCCCAUAUGGGAUUAGCUUGUAGGUGGGGUAACGGCUCACCAAGGCGAGGAGCCCUAGCUGGUCUGAGAGGAUGACAAUCCACACUGGACAGGAGCCACAGUCAAGACUCCUACGUGAGGCAGCAGUGGGGAAUAUUGCACAAUGGGCGCAAGCCUGAUGCAGCCAUGCCGAGUGUAAGAAGAAGGCCUUCGGGUUGUAAAGUACUUUCAGCGGGGAGGCGUUACCCGCAGAAGAAGCACCGGCUAACUCCGUGCCAGCAGCCGCGGUGAUAC
rnacentral:rRNA from 1 species